GCCCCACUGGCCUAAUGGUUAAGGCGUAUGACUUCUACAAAAGCACUACUGUGAUCAUAAGAUUUCGGGUUCGAAUCCCGAGUGGGGUU
rnacentral:tRNA from 1 species